GAUGGACGCUAGCUACAGGCUUAACACAUGCAAGUCGAGGGGCAUCGGGGAGUUAGCUUGCUAACUUUGCCGGCGACCGGCGCACGGGUGAGUAACGCGUAUCCAACCUUCCCUAUAGUAGAGGAUAGCCCGGAGAAAUUCGGAUUAAUACUCUAUGUUCUUCCAUGCGGACAUCUAAUUGGAAGCAAAGGUUCACCGCAUAGGAUGGGGAUGCGUCUGAUUAGAUAGUAGGCGGGGUAACGGCCCACCUAGUCGACGAUCAGUAGGGGUUCUGAGAGGAAGGUCCCCCACAUUGGAACUGAGACACGGUCCAAACUCCUACGGGAGGCAGCAGUGAGGAAUAUUGGUCAAUGGGCGCGAGCCUGAACCAGCCAAGUAGCGUGCAGGAUGACGGCCCUAUGGGUUGUAAACUGCUUUUAUACGGGGAUAAAGUGUACCACGUGUGGUGUUUUGUAGGUACCGUAUGAAUAAGGACCGGCUAAUUCCGUGCCAGCAGCCGCCGUAACAC
rnacentral:rRNA from 1 species